GCGAAAUCAUUUCUGUUUGGUCAUGUUCAUUUUCUUUGAGCAUACCUUUGCUGGGUUCAGUUUAUGUCAGUUAAGGACACAGAAAGGGUUAAACUAGUUAAAUUAAAAUUCAGUGACAUUAAAUUCUGAUACAAGUCAGUUGAAAUAAUUACAUUGCUAAGCGUCCAUUCUCUUGCCUUCUCUUAAAACUUAAACCACAACAUAUACAGU